rnacentral:rRNA from 1 species
GACGAACGCUGGCGGCGUGCUUAACACAUGCAAGUCGAACGGAAAGGCCCUGCUUUUGUGGGGUUCUCGAGUGGCGAACGGGUGAGUAACACGUGAGUAACCUGCCCUUGACUUUGGGAUAACUUCAGGAAACUGGGGCUAAUACCGGAUAGGAGCUCCUGCUGCAUGGUGGGGGUUGGAAAGUUUCGGCGGUUGGGGAUGGACUCGCGGCUUAUCAGCUUGUUGGUGGGGUAGUGGCUUACCAAGGCUUUGACGGGUAGCCGGCCUGAGAGGGUGACCGGCCACAUGGGGACUGAGAGACGGCCCAGACUCGUACGGGAGGCAGCAGUGGGGAAUAUUGCACAAUGGGCGGAAGCCUGAGGCAGCAACGCCGCGGGCGGGAUGACGGCCUUCGGGUUGUAAACCGCUGUCGCCUGUGACGAAGCGUGAGUGACGGUAAUGGGUAAAGAAGCACCGGCUAACUACGUG